UCCUUAUUAGCGGUAAAGAAUCUGCCUGCAAUGCAGGAGACCCAGGUUCAAUCCCUGGGUUGGGAA
rnacentral:tRNA from 1 species